rnacentral:rRNA from 1 species
AACGUAGGUGGCGAGCGUUAUCCGGAUUUACUGGGCGUAAAGGGUGUGCAGGCUGCCCCUCAAGUGGUGUAUGAAAGGGCUCGGCUCAACCGGGCUAGGUUAUGCCAGACUGAGGGGCUAGAGAGCGAGAGCGGGACGUGGAAUUCCGGGUGUAGUGGUGAAAUGCGUAGAUAUCUGGAGGAACACCGGUGGCGAAGGCGGCAUCCUGGACCGAUAUUGACGCUGAUGCGCGAAAGCCAGGGGAGCAAACGGG